UACGUAGGGAGCAAGCGUUGUCCGGAAUCAUUGGGCGUAAAGCGCGCGUAGGUGGCCUCGUAAGUCCGCUGUGAAAGUCAAAGGCUCAACCUUUGAAAGCCGGUGGAUACUGUGAGGCUAGAGUACGGAAGAGGCGAGUGGAAUUCCUGGUGUAGCGGUGGAAUGCGCAGAUAUCAGGAGGAACACCAAUAGCGAAGGCAGCUCGCUGGGACGUAACUGACACUGAGGCGCGAAAGCGUGGGGAGCGAACAGG
rnacentral:rRNA from 1 species